rnacentral:snRNA from 1 species
GUGCUUGCUUUGGCAGCACAUAUACUAAAAUUGGAACAAUACACAGAAGAUUAGCAGGGCCCCUGCUCAAGGAUGACAUGCAAAUUUGUGAAGCAUUCCAUAUUAAA